AGCCCCUGGCAACUGUUAAUCUACUUUCUUUCUUGGUUCUGGCCAUUUCAUGUAAAUGGGACCAUACAAUAUGACUUCCCGAUUCCAAACCACAUGUGAUCUCCAAGCUGGAGCAGUGGGAAGACCCCUGGACUGUGGAGAGAGAUGCCCCAAGAGGUCCAGGGCAAGGAGGUGCAGUGUACACCCAACAGGAAAGAG